rnacentral:rRNA from 1 species
AGGACGAACGCUGGCGGCGUGCUUAACACAUGCAAGUCGAGCGGAAAGGCCCUUCGGGGUACUCGAGCGGCGAACGGGUGAGUAACACGUGAGUAAUCUGCCUUCAGCUCUGGGAUAGCUCCGGGAAAACCGGGAUUAAUACCGGAUAUGACCACUUCGGACAUCUGUUGUGGUGGAAAGUUUUUCGGCUGGAGAUGAGCUCGCGGCCUAUCAGCUUGUUGGUGGGGUAAAGGCCUACCAAGGCGACGACGGGUAGCCGGCCUGAGAGGGCGACCGGCCACACUGGGACUGAGACACGGCCCAGACUCCUACGGGAGGCAGCAGUGGGGAAUAUUGCGCAAUGGGCGGAAGCCUGACGCAGCGACGCCGCGUGGGGGAUGAAGGCCUUCGGGUUGUAAACCCCUUUCAGCAGGGACGAAGCGCAAGUGACGGUACCUGCAGAAGAAGCGCCGGCUAACUACGUGCCAGCAGCCGC